CGAUUUGGACAUUUUGCAGGGUCUCGAAAGGGCAAAGAAUAAGUUGGAAUCAAGAGUGGCUUUACCUUCCCUAGGUGAAAGUGCAACUGUUCCCCCUUUUGAAUGGAGUUCGAGCUUCUGAUGAGUUUAAACCUUGAGGAAAGGCCGGGAAAGUCUUGCAGUCGCUUAUUUACGAUGACAUCUCGCAUCCACUCGUCUUUGCAAUUGCUGCUGUUGGCGUUUGUUUUGGAAUAUGUGCAGUUGUUCUCCACCCUCAGAAGGUCAGUGAGCUUGCUACCACUAUUGCAAGGUGUUUGUUCGACGACUCCUAGUGCAGUUCUGGUACACAGUGGCCGACCAUACUAGACCGUAUAAUAAACACGUUUUUUGCUUCUUCUUUUUUCGUCCUUAAUAUUGUUCACUAUUAUACAACCUACCUUGCCAAACAAGUUGCAUAGAUUGAGGCAGCUUUGUUGAAUUCGUCUGUGUUUGAGCAAAAAGUUACGGGGAAGAUGCAUGUGAACACGUGUUUAUGACAUGAAAUAUUAUCGGCCUCGGAGUGACCUUGUAUAUAUCUUCCAUAUUAAGAUAAUGUAACGGUUUAUGGCGCACUGGUUCUUUGUACAAGAGAAUUAGAUUUGGGUUCAUGAGAUGAAAAUGAUAAAUAUUGUCUUCUCUCAAGAAGUAUAUGUAAUCCUUUUCUUAGCAAUUGGUGGUUUAAUUGAGUGAUCUGACAUAAAUGAAAUGACUUUUAUUGGUUGAAAAUCUAUUAAUUUUGAGAGAAAUGUCGUUCGGUUUGGCCAUGUUUGGUGC
rnacentral:lncRNA from 1 species